rnacentral:rRNA from 1 species
UACAGAGGUCUCAAGCGUUGUUCGGAUUCAUUGGGCGUAAAGGGUGUGUAGGUGGCGCGCUAAGUCGGGUGUGAAAUUUCGGAGCUUAACUCCGAAACUGCAUUCGAUACUGGCGUGCUUGAGGACUGGAGAGGAGACGUGGAAUUCAUGGUGUAGCAGUGAAAUGCGUAGAGAUCAUGAGGAAGACCAGUGGCGAAGGCGGGUCGUCUGGAC